rnacentral:rRNA from 1 species
UGGGGAAUAUUGCACAAUGGGCGGAAGCCUGAUGCAGCGACGCCGCGUGGGGGAUGAAGGCCCUCGGGUUGUAAACUCCUUUCGACAGGGACGAAGCUUUUGUGACGGUACCUGUAUAAGAUGCACCGGCUAACUACGUGCCAGCAGCCGCGGUACUACGCAGGGUGCGAGCGUUGUCCGGAAUUACUGGGCGUAAAGAGCUCGUAGGUGGUUUGUCGCAUCGUCUGUGAAUUUCCGAGGCUUAACUCCGGGCGUGCAGGCGAUACGGGCUGAGUUGAGUGCUGUGGAGGAGACUGGAAUUCCUGGUGUAGCGGUGAAAUGCGCAGAUAUAAGGAGGAGCACCGCUGGGGAAGGCAGGUCUCUGGGCAGUAACUGACGCUGAGGAGCGAAAGAAUGAGUAGCGAACAGG